rnacentral:rRNA from 1 species
UACAGAGGUCCCAAGCGUUGUUCGGAUUCACUGGGCGUAAAGGGUGCGUAGGUGGUUAGGUAAGUCCGAUGUGAAAUCUCCAGGCUCAACCUGGAAAUGGCAUUGGAUACUAUUUAGCUUGAGGAGUGGAGGGGGGACUGGAAUUCUCGGUGUAGCAGUGAAAUGCGUAGAUAUCGAGAGGAACACCAGUGGCGAAGGCGAGUCCCUGGACACUUCCUGGCACUGAGGCACGAAAGCUAGGGGAGCAAACAGG